CUUGCACUAAAUGAAACUAGAUACAAGCGAGCGGCGGACGGGUGAGUAACACGUGGGUAACCUGCCCAAGAGACUGGGAUAACACCUGGAAACAGAUGCUAAUACCGGAUAACAACACUAGACGCAUGUCUAGAGUUUGAAAGAUGGUUCUGCUAUCACUCUUGGAUGGACCUGCGGUGCAUUAGCUAGUUGGUAAGGUAACGGCUUACCAAGGCAAUGAUGCAUAGCCGAGUUGAGAGACUGAUCGGCCACAUUGGGACUGAGACACGGCCCAAACUCCUACGGGAGGCAGCAGUAGGGAAUCUUCCACAAUGGACGAAAGUCUGAUGGAGCAACGCCGCGUGAGUGAAGAAGGGUUUCGGCUCGUAAAGCUCUGUUGGUAGUGAAGAAAGAUAGAGGUAGUAACUGGCCUUUAUUUGACGGUAAUUACUUAGAAAGUCACGGCUAACUACGUGCCAGCAGCCGCGGUAAUACGUAGGUGGCAAGCGUUGUCCGGAUUUAUUGGGCGUAAAGCGAGUGCAGGCGGUUCAAUAAGUCUGAUGUGAAAGCCUUCGGCUCAACCGGAGAAUUGCAUCAGAAACUGUUGAACUUGAGUGCAGAAGAGGAGAGUGGAACUCCAUGUGUAGCGGUGGAAUGCGUAGAUAUAUGGAAGAACACCAGUGGCGAAGGCGGCUCUCUGGUCUGCAACUGACGCUGAGGCUCGAAAGCAUGGGUAGCGAACAGGAUUAGAUACCCUGGUAGUCCAUGCCGUAAACGAUGAGUGCUAAGUGUUGGGAGGUUUCCGCCUCUCAGUGCUGCAGCUAACGCAUUAAGCACUCCGCCUGGGGAGUACGACCGCAAGGUUGAAACUCAAAGGAAUUGACGGGGGCCCGCACAAGCGGUGGAGCAUGUGGUUUAAUUCGAAGCAACGCGAAGAACCUUACCAGGUCUUGACAUCCAGUGCAAACCUAAGAGAUUAGGUGUUCCCUUCGGGGACGCUGAGACAGGUGGUGCAUGGCUGUCGUCAGCUCGUGUCGUGAGAUGUUGGGUUAAGUCCCGCAACGAGCGCAACCCUUGUCAUUAGUUGCCAUCAUUAAGUUGGGCACUCUAAUGAGACUGCCGGUGACAAACCGGAGGAAGGUGGGGAUGACGUCAAGUCAUCAUGCCCCUUAUGACCUGGGCUACACACGUGCUACAAUGGACGGUACAACGAGAAGCGAACCUGCGAAGGCAAGCGGAUCUCUUAAAGCCGUUCUCAGUUCGGACUGUAGGCUGCAACUCGCCUACACGAAGCUGGAAUCGCUAGUAAUCGCG
rnacentral:rRNA from 1 species